rnacentral:misc_RNA from 1 species
GUGAAUCAUCGAAUUUUUGAACGCAACUUGCACUCUCUUCGGAGAGUAUGCCUGUUUGAGGGUCAGUAUUAAUAAAAAUCGGUGUGUUGCUUCUGGGUUACGCUCCGUGGUUUGGGUCAUCUUAAUAUCCUUUAGGUUUUAAGAGGCUUAAAAUUGACUUUUUUUGCGCAUUUUAGAUGUACAUAAAGUCUUUUUUUGAUUCGUCUAGCUUAUUGCUCAAAAUACUAUUAGAUGCGACCAUAUCGUAUGGUUGCGUGUCUAUAAAU